rnacentral:rRNA from 1 species
UACGGAGGGUGCAAGCGUUGUCCGGAAUCACUGGGCGUAAAGGGCGCGUAGGCGGCUCAUGAAGGCUGUGGUGAAAGUCCGGGGCUCAACCUCGGAUCGGCCGUGGCGACUCGUGGGCUGGAGCACUGUAGAGGCGGGUGGAAUUCCGGGUGUAGCGGUGGGAAUGCGUAGAGAUCCGGAAGAACACCAGUGGCGAAGGCGGCCCGCUGGGCAGUGGCUGACGCUGGAGGCGCGACAGCGUGGGGAGCAAACAGG